rnacentral:rRNA from 1 species
UUUGAUGGCGACCGGCGCACGGGUGAGUAACACGUAUCCAACCUGCCGAUGACUCGGGGAUAGCCUUUCGAAAGAAAGAUUAAUCCCGAUGGCAUAGUUCUUCCGCAUGGUAGAACUAUUAAAGAAUUUCGGUCAUCGAUGGGGAUGCGUUCCAUUAGGUUGUUGGCGGGGUAACGGCCCACCAAGCCUUCGAUGGAUAGGGGUUCUGAGAGGAAGGUCCCCCACAUUGGAACUGAGACACGGUCCAAACUCCUACGGGAGGCAGCAUG